rnacentral:rRNA from 1 species
UACAGAGGGUGCAAGCGUUGUUCGGAAUUAUUGGGCGUAAAGGGCGUGUAGGCGGUCUUUUAAGUCUUCUGUGAAAUCUACGGGCUUAGCCUGUAACGUGCAGAGGAAACUGGAAGGCUUGAGUGUCGGAGAGGAUAGGGGAAUACCCAGUGUAGAGGUGAAAUUCGUAGAGAUUGGGUGGAACACCAGUGGCGAAGGCGCCUAUCUGGCUGACAACUGACGCUGAGACUCGAAAGCAUGGGGAGCAAACAGG